UUCCCUUCCCCUGAACAUGCCCCUGAAAAAAGGAACGACGAUCACUCAAUCUCUGUAAACAAUACAGUGAGUGAAUGUUUGUUCCGUUUUCAUGCGUACCCUAAAUUGACAGUAUUGAAUAUCAAGCAGUUUGAGUGUGGGUAAAACAUCAACACCCCUGUAGCUUUAAUGCCUACUCACAGAUGGAGCGCAGGUGAAAUGUAGAAUAGGGUGUGCCGUCAGAAUACAUAUAUGUGUAAGUUUCGAAGAAACGGCUUUUCAUAUAAAAGACGGGGGACGAUGAGGAACCUUCCUUUUCCAACUGUGAUUGUCGAACGGAGUCGAAGUGCGCGCGUGUGUAAUUUCCGUUUCGAGCUAGGUCCAGUGGAAAAGUCUGAUCGUUAAAAGAUUAAGUGUUAGUAACGAUUAAAAAAAAAGAUUACAAAGAAAAGGUGAAAAGACGAAUUUACUACAAACAAAAGAAUCGUCCACAACGCACAUGUUAAAACAAUAAGAAAAAGGUCCGUUCAAGGGGCCUUUUUCUUCCGUUCUAUUUUCAAGUUCGUCCUCGGGUGUUCAUGGUGGUGCAAACUCGUGCCGAAUAACUACAACCCUCGGUGGCAGUGUAACAGUCGACGUAAACACGAUAGGCAAACCGCGAGCAAGAUCGGAACGUUCCCGGCCAUUCCCGGCAUUCUUCGCCGAUGUCGCCAUUGUUACCGCGAACGAGAUCGGACAGAUCCCGGCCAUUCUCUUUCCAUCUACGCCUUUUUGCGACCGUUCAGCAUCCGCCAUUGCAAUCCGCUCCGCGGAUAGAGAAAUCCGCCAUGAUACCAUCAAACACCGGAGGUGGUCUAAGAAAGCCCAGGACCAUUGAGAACAACCCUCCAUCCGACCUAUCAUCGGGAUUCCAACCAAUGUUACGCAACUACCACGAUUCGUACCACAAGGACCAGUGGUUACCCAGCAUCGAACCCCAGCCUACCAUCGAAAGCUUUCGCACCGAUCAUCGAGACUCCAGAUCCGGAUCCGGCAGCAACUAGCGAACAGCAAGUAUACCCUUUGUGACGUCGUAAAUAAAUAUUGUUGAUUAGUAUGUAGUAAA